rnacentral:sRNA from 1 species
GCUUCACGAAAGGACGAGCAGACUUCACCAUCCACUGUCCUAAGGUGUUCAAAGGAGGUGGCGCCAGUCACAUGGGUUAGCAGCACCCUAAGGUACUUGCCAAGUAAAUGCCUCUGGAAAAUCCUUGUAGAGGAUUCCUCGAGCAUCUUCGUUAACUUUAUUUGCCUCAAAAUACUCAGUUAGCAUACUCUUCUCGACGCCAUUUCUCUCUACGACAUCAUGGAGAUCUUGCCCCGCACGAAAUGAGACCAUGUGCAUGUUUGGAAGAUGCAGUUGUAGCUGUUUCACAGGCGGAUGUACCUUACUAAGGUCAAAGCUAUAUAUACGCCAUAGUGCUUCUGGUGGGGUGACCCACCUUGCAUCUCUAUAUUGUUGAAUCUCAUCAAUGUUGCCAUUGCUAUCGGCCUC